rnacentral:lncRNA from 1 species
GGAUAGAAUUUCAAAUUUAAAAGAAUAAAAAUUUUCAAAAUAAAAAUGGUCUAUUUUGGUGAUUUUGAGUGUCGUUUUUAUGAUAAAAACUUAAAAAGUCUAUUUGAGAAAAUUGCCCUAUUUUUUAUAUUAGUAUUUACAUAUAUAAAUAUAUUUCGGAUACAUUUGGAUAUCCAAAAUACUUAUGUUUGGGGCGGGUUUGGUUAUGGUUCUUUAGAUAUCUAAAUUUUGAACCUAUGCGGAUAUUUAACCAAUCUUGGUUCGGAUUCGGUACUACUUUUUCGAAUCGGAUUCGGUUCUUCAGAUUCAUGUUUUUGCCCAACCCUAAUGUUUUCAGCUCUAAUUCUCUUUAUGCUCCUAAGUGCUCCAAAAUUUCUAAACUUAUCCAAAACGUAACUGAACUUGCAAUGACUCGAUAAAAAUUCGAAACAUACAUAAAACUCUAAAUAAAGAUGUAUUGCAUAGUCAAAACCCCAUAAAAUAUGAUGUAUCAACACCCAUGAUUAGAAGAUGAGAAAUAAAAGAGCACUAUUUUUACAAAAAAAAAAAAAAGAGCACUAUCUACAUAUCUUUGGAAAAAGGCCAAAACUAUGGCCAAUGUCAACACUGAAAUCAUCUUGUAGAUGUAUAGAUUAGAGGAGCACCACCGGAAACACUGUUACUCCCGUGACCAGGUCCAGAAACAGACUUCUAUCAACAGAGAGGAAAAGUCAAUCGCUUAUACAAUCGCCAUUAACUGCCAUAAUAACCGCAUUUAUCUAUUCUUGUCUUCUAAUACCAUUCCUUACUAUGUGUGCCAUUUAUUUAAGUUAUCUACACAAUCAUUUAAAGGUUUAUAGUUGUGAUGACAUCCAAUUUCCAAACAAUUUUGUUAUUGUGAACGUCAGUAAUCUAAUUCAAAUGAGUUUUUUUUUUAUCGAUGAGCCUUGCUUAUUACAUGGAGAAUAGAAAGAUGGCUCUGGACACCACAAGAAACUAAGUAUCUCAGGCCCGUAAAAAUAAGUAUAUGCUAUGCCAGUUUACAAAAGAAAAAAGCAUAUUUCGUUCAUGUAGGUAGUAUGAUGGUUGGAUGGGAAAUUGGGAAUUUAUAAUACAAUUUUCGAUUUUCUUACCACUUACAUAAUUAUUAAGGCGUUUGUUUUAGUCAUUCCUCAUUGACCUAUAUAAACAAAAACAAUUAAAUAUACC